UACGUAGGGUGCAAGCGUUAUCCGGAAUCACUGGGCGUAAAGCGUGCGUAGGUGGCGUGUUAAGUGUGAUGUUAAAUCGUGUGGCUCAACCAUAUCGAUGUGUCGCAUACUGGCAUGCUAGAGGACAGCAGAGGCAAGUGGAAUUUGUGGUGUAGCAGUGAAAUGCGUAGAUAUUACAAGGAACACCAAUGGCGAAGGCAGCUUGCUGGGCUACUCCUGACACUGAGGUACGAAAGCGUGGGGAGCGAACAGG
rnacentral:rRNA from 1 species